AUGAUUAGGAAGAGUAAGUGCCCUGCUUAGUACAAAAGGAACCACAGAUUCAGACAUUUGGUGUAUGUGCUUGGCUGAGGAGCCAAUGGGGCUAAACUACCAUCUGUGGGAUUAUGACUGAAUGCCUCUAAAUCAGAAUCCCUCACCUAGAAGCCUUGGUUGGCCUCGGAUAGCUGGUACCGUGCCAUCCCUGCCAGUGGACUGGGCUCCAGUGCAGAGAGCCCCCUCUCAUUUUGGGAAACAGGGUAUGGCCAGAAAGGGGGCCACCCCCUGCCCUUCACGCAGUGCAUGUUCCUGCUGAACCUGGUGCUAAAACCAUUUGUUGAUGACCUGCUCCUUGGUCGGGGUUUCGAACAGAGCAGAGCAGCUCCCUCGCUGUGAUCUAUUGAAAAUCAGCCUUCCACACAAGGGUUG
rnacentral:ncRNA from 1 species